rnacentral:sRNA from 1 species
GAUAGCAGGGUCAAAAGCUCCAAAAGCCGUUCGUGCUUGCACGAUUAGGUUUUUGAGCUUGGACCCCGCAAAAACAUGAGGAUGCAGCGAUUUUCAAGGAAAAUCAGCGAAUCCGAAUGUUUUUAGAAUUGCGAAAGUUGCAGGGGGGCGGAGCAAUUCGUGGGUAUC